rnacentral:rRNA from 1 species
UACGUAGGGGGCUAGCGUUGUCCGGAUUCAUUGGGCGUAAAGAGCGUGUAGGCGGCUAGGUAGGUCCGUUGUGAAAACUCGAGGCUCAACCUCGAGCUGUCGAUGGAAACCAUCUGGCUAGAGUCCGGAAGAGGAGAGUGGAAUUCCUGGUGUAGCGGUGAAAUGCGCAGAUAUCAGGAAGAACACCCGUGGCGAAGGCGGCUCUCUGGUACGUGACUGACGCUGAGACGCGAAAGCGUGGGGAGCGAACAGG